rnacentral:tRNA from 1 species
CCUUGGUCCGGCGGAACCGGUGGCGGGUCUACGAAGCCUGCUUACGGAGGUUCGACUCCUCCACCGAGGGCCA